GAUGAACGCUGGCGGCGUGCCUAAUACAUGCAAGUCGAGCGAACGGACGAGAAGUUUGCUUCUCUGAUGUUAGCGGCGGACGGGUGAGUAACACGUGGAUAACCUACCUAUAAGACUGGGAUAACUUCGGGAAACCGGAGCUAAUACCGGAUGAUAUUUUGAACCGCAUGGUUCAAAAGUGAAAGACGGUCUUGCUGUCACUUAUAGAUGGAUCCGCGCUGCAUUAGCUAGUUGGUAAGGUAACGGCUUACCAAGGCAACGAUGCAUAGCCGACCUGAGAGGGUGAUCGGCCACACGGGAACUGAGACACGGUCCAGACUCCUACGGGAGGCAGCAGUAGGGAAUCUUACGCGAUGGACGAAAGCCUGACGGAGCAACGCCGCGUGAGUGAUGAAGGUCUUCGGAUCGUAAAGCUCUGUUAUUAGGGAAGAACAUAUGUGUAAGUAACUGUGCACAUCUUGACGGUACCUAAUCAGAAAGCCACGGCUAACUACGUG
rnacentral:rRNA from 1 species